rnacentral:lncRNA from 1 species
AGAAAGAUAGAUAGAUAGAUAGAUAGAUAGAUAGAUAGAUAGAUAGAUAGAUAGAUAAAAGAAAUGUAACCCAGCAGCAGUAUAAGGAAAUACAGUAAAAAGACUAAAAGGAGAAAGAGCUAUUGAAGUCAAGUGGACUUAGAAUGAGAAAAGAUCUGGGUGAAACAUUGGAGGUAGCAUAUGGGGAAGGACAAAAGCUCUAUUAACUCUUCAUAAAAUACUGCUUUCAGGAAUAAUAGAAGCCAGAAUCAAAGCUGUUUAUGGUUAUGAAGCACAGGAGAUGAGGAACCAGGAUUCAUCCACAGAGAGCUAACAACUAAGACCACGCAAAAAAGAAAUCCAAGAGAACUACCCCCACAACUAAUUCUUCACAUUACUUGAUUUUUAUCUUUAGCUGAUACUAGUUUGGUCUAUCCAGAGUGAGACAAGAAUAAAUUCAUUAGCUAUAAUUUUAUAUUCUAAAGACUGUUUACACACACAAUUGGUAAUAAUUGAUUAUAGAAACCUAACUUAGAAGAGCCUGGGGAGCUAAGCCUUAUCAACAGGCUAUACUUAAAGAAACCUGGUGCUAGGUAAGGCAUCACCUUCCCCACAUAUUACCUGAACUUUCCUUAUUCUUGAUGGAGCAGUGGCAGCCACACAGGGUCCCAUCCUCAAAAGACCCUUCAAUCUCCUAAUAUUUUAUAUAUAUUUCCUUCAUAUAGGGUCCUAUAUAAGGGGGAAAAAACUUCAGCUCUCUUGGACACAGGACAACAGACGACACAGCAUCUCCCCACCUCAAAAAAAGCAAAACUCAACCCAGCUAUUCCUUUAAAAAGAUGUCAGUUAGUGAUCAACUCUGGAGAGAAAGCCAUACCACUGAGGCAGAGAAGUAUUUUAAAAACAUUUGUUUUGUACAUCU